AGCAGAUUUAUUUUAUUCCCACUGAUGAAGAACUGUGAUCCUACCUCUGGGUGUUUAGAAAGGAAAAGAGGGUGCAUAGUUUUGAGUAAUUUUACUGGGUCACAAUUGAUCAACAAACAAAUAUCCUCCAUAUAAUUUACAUGAAGCUGCCUUUAUCACCAUUUAAAGCACAGCAUUUUAAAUGCCUGUUGCUCGGCAUAACAGACUCUUUGUAUCAUUUGCAUCUUGUCAUCUAAUCUGCCCCUGCCAUUGUACUUCUGCAGACAUGUAAAAUAAGAUUACUGAAACAUGUUACCCGAGGCUCAUGUAAGUAUACCGGGCAUUUUAAUAUUGUUUACAGCUCACUACUUGAAACAGGAGAGCACAAAUCAUUAGACUGCUUUUGUCACCAGAUGAAGGAAAAUACUUGGACUUGAGAAAGCCGGUAAAGGUAGAAGGAAAUAUGUAUUGAGCGUCCAAGGGCCAUCAUGGAACUCUGUGCAUAGGAUGGUUUAUCCAGAACGCAGUCGUUUUCCAGCACUCUCUCAUCAACUUCAGUGGUGCCUGGGCAUCAGAAUCAGCUCUUGUUUUUAGUUUUCAUUGUGAACCGUGAAGAAGCAGAGGAAGAAUGAAGAGAGAAAAUGCACAAAAAAAAGUAUUAGAACAAAAAAGCAAUUUAAGAAAAACUGGAUUGCAAUUUAAGCCAAACUGGAUGACAGUUUUUUUCCCCCACACUUCCUUUUUUUUCAGACACUCGGGUGAGCAGUCAGGAGAGACUAAUGUCAAAUGUCAAUUUGAGCCCUUGCAGAUUCUCAGAUGUAUGAAUUCCUGUCCAGGAUAAUUCUGUGGGGUUUCUUCAAAAGGUAUUUGUCAUCAUCAGUUGCCUCACACCCUGGCUAUGUGCUCUGCAGACCUUUUGUAUUUCAUUUGAAAUGUAACACAUCGCUGGCACAUCGCAAGGGCAAACAGAUGUCUAAUUUAUUCAGGAUGGUUGUGUGUGUGUGUGUGUGUGUUUUUUUUUCUUCAAGAAUGAAAAAAGAGAAGAAGGAAAGGGAGGAGAAAGGUCAAACCGGUUUCUCAGAGGAGCAGAGAAGACAAGAGGAGUACUGUCUAUUGGCAGAGCUUGCCCGCAUUGAGCAGGAGCUCAGAGAAAAGUCUCGCAAAGAGCUGGAGAGACAGGAGGCCCUGGAGAGAGCGCGCAGUGAGGCGAACCGUGACAGGUGGAGGAACCUCAGCUAUAUGGCCCUCAGCCAACGCGUGAACAAGUACGUUCCCAUCCGAACGCAGGUACAUUCAGUGGCAGACUCUGCAAUGUUUGUCUUCUCUGGAAUGUUCUUUGAAAAUUCUUAGGAUUUUUUUUCCCCCCUGUAGUCAAGGGAUUUGGUAACUAUACAAAAGAAGAUCCCCACAAUUAUUCUACAAAAUCCUUUGUGUCGUUUUGUUUUUGCAGGCCAUGGGUGUUCAGUUAUUUUAAGAACAUUCCCAUGCACAUUUACUGCCAGCCUAUCAGAAGACCGCCCCAGGUCCGACACCGCAAGAAGUGGCGAUAAUCAGUGUAGCCUGGACAGAGCGCUGAGCUGUCCUGCUGCUGGCUGAGGACAUGGCUGUGUGCAUCUUCAUCAGAACGGUUAUGGCCCUUUUCAAACCUGUUUGCACUCUAAAACAAAGUAGCAUUAGAAGGUUCUGCUUACUAGAAUCUUAAAAAAGUCAGAACAGACCCUCAUUUGCUUGAAUAUUGAAAAUCAUAUAAAUAGACCUAAAAUUGUGAGUCUUUAAUUUUGUGCCAUUUCCAGCUCACUGUAGUCAUUUUAUAUAUUUUUUU
ensembl:lincRNA